CGUGCCUAAUACAUGCAAGUCGAACGCACAGCGAAAGGUGCUUGCACCUUUCAAGUGAGUGGCGAACGGGUGAGUAACACGUGGACAACCUGCCUCAAGGCUGGGGAUAACAUUUGGAAACAGAUGCUAAUACCGAAUAAAACUUAGUGUCGCAUGACACAAAGUUAAAAGGCGCUUCGGCGUCACCUAGAGAUGGAUCCGCGGUGCAUUAGUUAGUUGGUGGGGUAAAGGCCUACCAAGACAAUGAUGCAUAGCCGAGUUGAGAGACUGAUCGGCCACAUUGGGACUGAGACACGGCCCAAACUCCUACGGGAGGCUGCAGUAGGGAAUCUUCCACAAUGGGCGAAAGCCUGAUGGAGCAACGCCGCGUGUGUGAUGAAGGCUUUCGGGUCGUAAAGCACUGUUGUAUGGGAAGAACAGCUAGAAUAGGAAAUGAUUUUAGUUUGACGGUACCAUACCAGAAAGGGACGGCUAAAUACGUGCCAGCAGCCGCGGUAAUACGUAUGUCCCGAGCGUUAUCCGGAUUUAUUGGGCGUAAAGCGAGCGCAGACGGUUUAUUAAGUCUGAUGUGAAAGCCCGGAGCUCAACUCCGGAAUGGCAUUGGAAACUGGUUAACUUGAGUGCAGUAGAGGUAAGUGGAACUCCAUGUGUAGCGGUGGAAUGCGUAGAUAUAUGGAAGAACACCAGUGGCGAAGGCGGCUUACUGGACUGCAACUGACGUUGAGGCUCGAAAGUGUGGGUAGCAAACAGGAUUAGAUACCCUGGUAGUCCACACCGUAAACGAUGAACACUAGGUGUUAGGAGGUUUCCGCCUCUUAGUGCCGAAGCUAACGCAUUAAGUGUUCCGCCUGGGGAGUACGACCGCAAGGUUGAAACUCAAAGGAAUUGACGGGGACCCGCACAAGCGGUGGAGCAUGUGGUUUAAUUCGAAGCAACGCGAAGAACCUUACCAGGUCUUGACAUCCUUUGAAGCUUUUAGAGAUAGAAGUGUUCUCUUCGGAGACAAAGUGACAGGUGGUGCAUGGUCGUCGUCAGCUCCUGUCGUGAGAAGUUGGGGUUAAAUCCCCGCACCAGCGCACCCCUUAUUGUUAUUUGCCGCCAUUCAAAUGGGGCCUCUAUCAGAAUGGCCGGUGACAAACCGCAGGAAGGGGGGGAGAAAACCAGAUAUCAUGCGCCUCUUAACUGGGGGUACCCCCCUGCUCCAAAGGGGGUAAACAACAAAUUGCCACCCCGCCGGGGGGAGGAAUCCUUUAAA
rnacentral:rRNA from 1 species